CAGGGGAUAGUUUAAAAAAAAUAUUAAUUUUGGGGAUUAAAGAUGAUAGAAUUAUAUUUCCUCUGA
rnacentral:tRNA from 1 species